rnacentral:rRNA from 1 species
UACAGAGGUCCCGAGCGUUGUUCGGAAUCACUGGGCGUAAAGGGAGCGUAGGCGGGUUCUUAAGUAAGGUGUUUAAUCCCGGGGCCCAACCCCGGACCGGCACUUUAAACUGGGAAUCUUGAAUAGUGGAGAGGUCGGUGGAAUUGGGGGUGUAGCGGUGGAAUGCGUAGAGAUCUGCAAGAAUACCCGUGGCGAAGGCGGCCAGCUGGGCCGGAUCCGACGCUGAGGCGCGAAAGCGUGGGGAGCAAACAGG